AUCGUAAUGCAGCCAAGGUGGUCACAAGCCCACAGCCAAAAAGGUAUGCAGAGUGAGAU
rnacentral:ribozyme from 2 species